rnacentral:lncRNA from 1 species
UGCACCUGGUCCGCGGUAAUCCUGGAAACAGUUUUAGAGGAGAUGCGUUAGGUUCGGGCUUAAAAAUAAUAAUGAGUCACCUAGGAAGCCAAGGAGAAAGGAUAUCUAGAUCAAGGCGGGGGAGGGAGGAAGGGGUAUGGGAAGAUGAGAAGAGGAAGGCUUAGCACCCUCGCAGACAACAGCCCAGCAAGCCUGGAGGAAACUCUGUGUGGGCGAGGCAACAGAAGCAGUCACUCCAGUGGGGGGCUUGGAGCCCCAGCGCCUUGCAAGUCAAGACGGGGAGUUUGGAUCCCAUCGUGGGGUCGCUGAAGGACUGAGAACAUUUGACACGGCCGGCUUCACUCCUCGGACGCAUCCCUCCCCCAGCCCUUUGGAGGAUGUACUGGAAGGCGGUGAGACCGUCGAGAAGGAGAACAUUCAUCUUAUUUCUGGAAAGGUCUUGGUAAUGCACAGAAGAAUCAGUUUGCUGAAAUCCAAGUAGGAAGUGAGAACACAAAUGCCCGACGUAGGUCGCCCUGUCCGUUCCGCAUCCUUCAAAUCUAUGUCAUUCGUUUCCUGGCGAAAAGAAAGGCGUGGUUUGUUCUGUAGUUCCUGGGAUCAGACAUCAGGAGGACACUGAUUCCUAUGAUUUUAUUACUGAAAGCAACAGCGCCAAAGGCAAGCUGGUUAGCAAUGAACAACCUCAAGCUGAUCCCAGACCUACCCAAUCAGAAUCUGCAAGGGAAGAAGAUCCCAGGUGACUCACAUGCACGAUAAAGUUUGAGGAACGCUGCUCCGGAAGCCAUCCUUCCGCUGGAAUUUCACAGGCGGGAUCCCGACUGAGGAAACGGGCCAUCCACCCACCGGAUUUUUCCAGCAGAAGUAUCAAGUAACUGAAUGUCUGUGCCUUAUGGCAACCCUUGAAAGGCCAAAGGAUACAGCCGAGCUAAGCCUAAGGCAAAGGGCUCUUAGACAGGACACCAAAAGCACAAUUUCCAAAAGAAACAUUUGGGAAAUUGGACUUGGUCAAAAUUUAAAACCCCUGCCCUGAAAAAGACCCUGCCUGGGGCACCCGGGUGGCUCAGUCGGUUAAUUAAGCGUCUGACUCGAUUUUCAACUCCGGUCAAAAUGAGUUCGAGCCCCACCUCGGGCUCUGCGCUGAUAGCCUGGAGCCUGCUUGGGAAUUCUCUCUCUCUCCCUCUCUCUGCCCCUCCCCCCGCUCGCUCACAUGCACGCACGCACCCAUCCUCCCUCUCUCUCACAAUAAAUCAAUGAACUUUAAAAAACA